rnacentral:rRNA from 1 species
UGAAUGUAAUACGACUCACUAUAGGGCGAAUUGGGCCCGACGUCGCAUGCUCCCGGCCGCCAUGGCGGCCGCGGGAAUUCGAUUAGAGUUUGAUCAUGGCUCAGAUUGAACGCUGGCGGAAUGCUUUACACAUGCAAGUCGAACGGCAGCACGGGAGCUUGCUCCUGGUGGCGAGUGGCGAACGGGUGAGUAAUACAUAGGAACAUACCCAGUAAUGGGGGAUAACGCCGAGAAAUCGGUGCUAAUACCGCAUACGCCCUGAGGGGGAAAGCGGGGGAUCUUCGGACCUCGCGUUACUGGAUUGGCCUAUGUCUGAUUAGCUAGUUGGUGAGGUAAAGGCUCACCAAGGCGACGAUCAGUAGCUGGUCUGAGAGGAUGAUCAGCCMCACUGGAACUGAGACACGGUCCAGACUCCUACGGGAGGCAGCAGUGGGGAAUUUUGGACAAUGGGSGAAASCCUGAUCCAGCCAUUCCGCGKGAGUGAAGAAGSCCUUCGGGUUGUAAAGCUCUUUCGSCAGGAACGAAAUGGUUGCGGUUAAUAAC